AACGUAGUGAUAUAGCCCACUUAUAUAUCGUCAUGAUAAGGAUGACAGUUUCUAGCCAGCACCGUAAAUGCUGGACUAUAAGUGAAAGAGUGUCUUGC
rnacentral:ncRNA from 2 species